UUUGAGUGCAAAAAAUAAAUAUAAAAUUUAUUAAAACACCCACAAUAUUUUAAAGAUAUCAGGAAUAAUACAUUGUGCGGCCGGGUGGGCCGCGUGUAACUCAGAAUAAAAUACAAAUUAAAAAAAAAAAAUCAUGGGGAAGAAAAAGGUUGGGGGAGGGGGGGGGGGGGUCCAUACUUGCGAUUUUUAGGCAUCCUAAAAAAUAAAUUUACCAAAACACUGAAAGGGGGGGGGGGGGGGGGAAGGAAAAGGGGUCUGAAGAACCGAGAAACACACGAAAGAGGAGAAAGAAAAGGGAAAAUUAUACAAAAUAAAAUUAUCGGCAUCAAUUUACUGUCCUAGGAGUUAUCUACAGUUUAAUACACAUUAAUCCUAUUGCCUUGAGACAUGGGAAAAAAUCUACCGCUCCUCGAUCCGCCCCGGAAAGAAAAGAGAAAACUUCAUUUCAAGUAACCACAGCCCAGAGCCGGCCAAGGAAUCUUCAAGUGUGUCCCUGGGGGGACCCCCUGCCGCCUCCGCUCCGUCCUCCGAGCCCCACGGAACGCCAACGCAACCCAACCCCAAACCCUCCCGCGAUCGGAUCCCGAGCGCUGAACCCCACAGAAACGGCGCUUUUCAUUCCAUUUCGUUCCAUUUCGUUUCAUUUCAGUUUUGUUUUGUUUUGUUUCCUUGUUUUGUUUCGUCUGCUCGUUUCCUUUUCCUUCCUAUUCUCCGCGCCGCGGUGCGAAACCCCGCCGGCGAAACGCUCCCGGAAUAAAACAAGGCUGAAACUACGGCAGUUUGUAAUCCCUGAAGGAUGUGAAAAUGAGGAGAAGGCCCGGGCGGAAAGGGUCAAUGAAAGGAAAAAAAAAAAUAAAAGAAACGGGAACUAAAACCGCUGCCAAAGGAUCCCUGAUUUCGGAAAGAUUCGCCCCGGUUUCACUGCCUUCGCUGCCGCGGCGCUGCGGGGUUGAGGUAUUUGCCUUGGUUUGGGGCACGGGGGGCUGCUGCCCCCUCAGCUCACGGGAACCCAAAGGGGGAAAAAAGUAGCACCAAUGAAACCCGAAAAAAAAAUGGCAAGGAGAGCGGGGAGGUGGGAAGGAAAUGAAGAGAUGGGAGAAGCGUGAAGCCCAGCUAUCCCCUGCCACAGCUCUCCGCAGCCAAAGCCCGCCGAUCCAGGGAGGGAAAGGAGCUCCGGGGCCAGGAGGUGCCAGCACCGUGUUUGGGUGCAGCGGAUCCAAGCACCGCAGAGGUUUCGUAUAUACAUGAGUAGCACCUCGGCGAGAUGGAAUCAGGCAGAAGCAUGAUACAGUUUGUUAAAACACCAUAGCACCAUUUUGAUUAGAAGAUUUCAUUUCAUAAAAAUACGCCUUAAAGAGCCCACAAAGCAUAUUCCAGUACUAAAAGGAAAAGUUAG
ensembl:lncRNA